rnacentral:misc_RNA from 1 species
CAAAACAACCUUCGGUUUUUCUUUUAAGAUUGCCAACCGGUCAUGAGCCUGUAGGAAAGAGCGUAAUCUCCCUCAGGCUUUAAAGCUGUUACGCGACCGCAAGCCACUUCCCGCCAGGUUUAUGGAUUGGUGUUUACAUAUCUUCCGUCGCCUUCGGGUUACAGCUUCCGCGGCGUUAAACGUCAGGUUGCCUCUUGCAGGUAACUGUA